rnacentral:lncRNA from 1 species
GAUUAUUUAAUAUAUAUAUAUGUACCAAGUUGUACGUUAAAUAAUAUCUAUCUAUCUAUCUAGAUUAUUUAAUAUAUAUAUGUACCAAGUUGUACGUUAAAUAAAAAUAUCUAUCUAUCUACCUAUCUGUAGUUAUCUCAUAUCUGGUUCACAGCUUUGCAGCGAACCGCCCUUUUUAUGGCGGUUGACAGAGUCUCUGUUUUCCUCCGUCAAUGUGGCAGAAUUCGCUGCAUAGAAUCUUAAUGUUAACUAUGAAAUUUUAGGUUUUUGGAUAAUACAGACUACACUUGUGUAUCCCACGGUGUUUUCUAAAUUUAAAGCACCAGUGUAUCCCACGGUGCAUCUUUACAUUUUCAUAUAUAUCUAUCUUCACAUAUAUCUAUCUAUCUACCUGGUUGCCAUAUUAUCUUCGGGUAACCGACCAUAGAUCUAUCUACAUAUAUACAUGGUCUAUGGUCUAUCUAUCUAUAUAUAUAUAUAUAUUAUAUAUUAUAUGAAUCUAUCAUAUUAUGAAUAAAAGCUGUGGCCAGAUAUCGCCAAACCAUAUAUGUAUUUUGUUUUAAUGGCACCAUCUGAGAUAAUGGAAUUUAAGUUAAUAGACUUAAAUUCAGUUAUCGCCGGGGCCACUCACGGAUUGUGUUUCAUGUUUUAGAUUUACCCAACAUGUGUGACGUUAUAUUCUGUGACGUCAUUUAGUCCUUUUUAGAAUUUCAUCGCAGCAAGCAAGCUGUUUAAAUUUUGUAAGCGGUAAACUUGAAAACCCGCCCUCCCACUCCUUUUUAUUGAACAAGAUACUGCUCUUUUGUAUUUAUUUUUCAGGUUUGUGUCGGUGAUAGUGGUGAUACAGAUUUGACUGAUGAUGUUAACUCGUUUGCUGUUGAGAAAAGUGACUUUUAUUUGAACUUUGAGCAUCAUAAAUAUAUUCCCGUAAAUGGCAGAAUUCGCUGCAUAGAAUCUUAAUGUUAACUAUGAAAUUUUAGGUUUUUGGAUAAUACAGACUACACUUGUGUAUCCCACGGUGC